GGGCCAUAGCUCAGUGGUAGAGCACCUGUUUUGCAUGCAGAAUGUUCCAAGUUCAAUCCCUGGGAUCUCUA